UUCCGGUUGAUCCUGCCGGAGGUCACUGCUAUUGGGAUUCGACUAAGCCAUGCGAGUCGAGAGGGUUCGGCCCUCGGCAGACGGCUCAGUAACACGCGGAUAAUCUGCCCUUAGGUGGAGGAUAACCUCGGGAAACUGAGAAUAAUACUCCAUAGAUCUAGGAUGCUGGAAUGCACUUAGAUUGAAAGUUCCGACGCCUAAGGAUGAGUCUGCGGACUAUCAGGUAGUAGUCAGGGUAAAGGCCUGACUAGCCUACGACGGAUACGGGUUGUGAGAGCAAUAACCCGGAGACGAUAUCUGAGACACGAUAUCGGGCCCUACGGGGCGCAGCAGGCGCGAAACCUUCACAAUGUGCGAAAGCACGAUGAGGGGAUCCCAAGUGCUUGCUCGUAAGAGUAAGCUGUUUUUAUGUCUAAAAAGCAUAGAGAGUAAGGGCUGGGUAAGACGGGUGCCAGCCGCCGCGGUAAUACCUGCGGCUCAAGUGGUGACCACUAUUAUUGGGCCUAAAACGUUCGUAGCCGGUUUGGUAAAUGCCUGGGUAAAUCGUGUAGCUUAACUAUACGAAUUCCGGGUAGACUGCCAAACUUGAGACCGGGAGAAGCUAGAGGUACUCCUUGGGUAGAGGUGAAAUUCUGUAAUCCUAGGGGGACCACCAGUGGCGAAGGCGUCUAGCUAGAACGGGUUUGACGGUGAGGAACGAAGCCCUGGGGCGCAAACCGGAUUAGAUACCCGGGUAGUCCAGGGUGUAAACGCUGCUUGCUUGAUGUUAGUUGGGCUCCGAGCCCAAUUGGUGUCGGAGAGAAGUUGUUAAGCAAGCUGCCUGGGAAGUACGAUCGCAAGAUUGAAACUUAAAGGAAUUGGCGGGGGAGCACAGCAACGGGUGGAGCGUGCGGUUUAAUUGGAAUCAACGCCGGA
rnacentral:rRNA from 1 species